UUUUAUUUCAUGCAACCACUUGAUCUAAUAAAAUUCAACAAAUAUAUUUUUUUCACGGUGUUAUUGUAACUUUUCUGUCGCUCCAGACUUCCUCACGCAGUAUCCGAGUUCCUCUCUGGGUAGCCUGGCAAAGGUUUCAUGUAGAAUGACAAAGCCACAAUGCAGCUCCUUUUGCUUCUCCCUCAACACCCUCAAGACAAAUAAAUGCAUCUGUGGCAUUCUUCCACGACAUGAAACCAAAUCCUCAUUUCUGCGCAAAAACCUUCGCGGCCGCGUGUCCUAGAUGCUUCCAUUCUUCCGCCGGUUCCACCACCAAAUCUACUUCUCCAAAGCUCAAGGACUCUCCUGCCUGUCUCCCUACUCCCCGUAGCUGUAGUGGCGGUAAUGCUGUUUUCCACGAUUUGACAUCUUUUAAAACUUGAGCGAUAGCCAUGCAUGAAAUCACACAAGCACGUCGUGCCAAACCAUAGCAAAACAUUAAAACAAACAUCCGAUGAUUUGCUUUGAGUUUUUCCAUUUCCUUUUAUUUUAUGCAAAAUCGACUCCAAGAAAUGGACUGCCAUCAUGCAUGACUUCACACAAGAAUGUUAGCUUGUCGUGUCAGACCAUAGCUCAUCAAGCAUUCAAGGAUUCAGUCUUCUUUUUGCUUUUUUUUUUUUUAAUAGUCUUUUUUGGGGGCAGGCAUUUGCAACGCUUACUCCAAGACAGCAUGUCACAAUAAAACAUUUUGCCAGA